GACCAUGCCGAACCUGGGGAUUUCAUGCUUCAUUUUCUGCAAACAAAUAGAGUUAGCCUUUUCCCUCUCCAGGUUCGACCACUUAUACAAUAAUAAUCAACAUAUUGGCAUAUUUUCUCCAAGUAAUGCACAUAACAUGAUGGCAUCCAUUGGGGUUAUGGAAAUCCCGUCAGACUUUGGACAAGGCUUAUCUUAGCGGGCUAUCACGUUAACAAUGUUCUAACCCGUACUAGGUUUAACAUGAUGCAUGUACAUUUGAUAUUGGAGUAAGGUUUCUUAGAAUGGCCUAGAUUGCUACACUCAAGUGGAUAACUUGAGAGAGAAAGGCACGGGACGGUCGACUGCACACUAAUCGACUAGUCUACCGCAAAUAAGUCUUCCCGAUUUUAAAAAAAGGUAAUUUUGGAAGAGCGCGAAUAUUCAUCAAGCGCUGCUAUGUUGAUAAUUUGUAUAAAUGGAGUAUGAUGUGGAGCAUGCUUUAUAUAGAUAAUAACACAUUGCCACACAUUUGUGUGAUAAAUAUGUAAAAAUAGUAAAUACAGUAGUAAGAUAAAACGUGAAAAACAUAGAAAGGAAAGACAAAAGGAAGAAGUUAGUUCGUGGAAUAUAUGCGAAAAUGUAAUAAAGCAAGUAAGGGAGUAGGGAUGGGAGAAGAAUGAUAUAACAGUCUUUAAACAAAAAAUGAAGAGCUGUCAUAGCAAAUAAUGGUGAACGGGGAAGGGGUGUGCAUGUUAUAACAAAUUUAAAGGAAUAAAGGGGAGGGUGGGAAAGGAUGUGCAUAAAAUACAGAAAAUAAUCCACAUAAGUCAAGUUCACUAUGGUAAGAGACUAAGUAUAAAUUUCCAGCAGAGUUGUCAUGCUGUCGCGCCCCGUUUUCUUGCGAAAGCGGGCUUCGACAUUUUGACAACUCCUUUGGUUGGGAGAUAGGGUAUUAAAAGGAGAAGAGUCGCCACCUAACGGUUUUGAGGUGCGUUAGGGCACCUAUUAUGCAGAUAACUCUGUUUGACUAGUCAACGCCACCAAAGAUCGGGUAAGGGCUCAAAUUACCUUAAAGAGAAGGUGUUAGGCACUCUUCAAGGUCCAUAACUGUGGGUCCCGGCCGAACUUAAGAUUAUGUGGAUUUCAAUUAGGCCAAGUGAUCAAAUAAACAAAGGGAACGUGAAGGUCAAGGAAUUUCAUUACAACAUGAUUAAUACAAAUUUUAAUACGAAUAUAGGGAUGCAACUAUUUAGAUUUAAUAGCAACACAUAAAGGAGGGGGGUUCUAAGUUUUUUAGCCUAAAGGAUCACCCCGUGCAACAUAAAUAAUACUUCACAACUCCCUUGAGGUAGGGAGUUACUCAUAUUAUUCAGCGGGUACAGACUAUCAUCUCAUGCUACCCGAUUACUAUAUUAAAGUUGUUUACCUAAAGCGCUAAUUCAAUUUUAAGCCGUGCUCUAUGCAUGCACUACCCGUCCCAUAUAUAUGGUCCAGGAGGUAUUAGACCUCUAUUUGGGUGGUUCUAGACCUUACUUAGGAUGCUCAGAAAUUUAAAACUAGGCAACAUACAAAAAUACAUUGGACUUCAAUUAUGGGCAUUUAAGGGCUCAAAUUAGCCUCCACACUUAAGCAACAAAUGCACGCGAAACAGGUUUUCAUGCUAGGCAGUUUUAGAAUUGAGAUCCUUAAGCCCUGUAGACAUGAUUUCUAUGUGACUAUGUAUUAAAACAUACAAGCAGUCUCAUAUGCUAGGCGCUGCUUAUCUCCAAAUAAUUAUAUGAUUGUUGCAUGUUGAUUAUUGAGAUUGCAGAUUUCCAGCUAUUAGACCUAUAGAUGUUGUGUCUAAGUGAUUUACACAGUGAAGGAGUAAUGAAAACUAUUGGGAAAAGCCCAUAAUUACUCAUGCUUGCUGACAGCGGGUAUAAGCAGUAAACAUUGUUUGAGAAGUUCAACAUUAACAUUUUAGAACGAGUAAUUAUCCCCUAUAGGCAGGAUCUCUAACAAUUGGCACUUGGAACCAAUUUUAUUGUUAUACUUAGCCCUAUAGACAUGUUUUCUAGAUGAACAGAAUGAUACCAACGAAUGGAAUAAUUGAAAUUCUAUAGGCAUGAUUUCUAGUGGAUAUGCAGCAGUGGGGCAGAUUGGAAGAAAGUCCAAUGAUAUUUGUUUCCUAUUGGUAGGUUUUCUAGUAACAUGUAACAGUAGGAAUAGUUGAAGCAUUUGAAUUCAUUUUUGGCUAACAAACGAGUAGUGUGAGUGUAUGCUACUCCUAAUGACAUGAUUUCUACGGUGCACAUAGAGAUUGAAUGGCAUAUAUAACAAGUAAAUCAUUGAAUUCUAUAGGCAUGCUUUUCUACCCUUGCAUGCAAAUAUCAGAAUCUACCCAUUCCACAUUUUUACUAACACGCGAAUUAUUUUUUACAAAGUUAUUAUAGAGCCAACGAUAAAUGUAAUACACAAAUAAUGAUAGUAGGCCCACAACAGGCCCCGAAAGAAAUACCCAGCAUUGCCUGGGCCUUCAAUAAUUCUCACGUAGCAUACCCAGGAACCAUAUUCAUCAACACAACCCAAAAUCCAUAGAAGAACUUAAGUCAGAUCAUACAACCAUAUAUUUACCAACCAAUUACUUAUGCAGUAGAUAAUAGGAAGAAACAAUUGAGUGUCAGGAAUCGUUCAGGUCUCAGUAGUAGAGGGAGUGGCUAAAGGACCCUAAAUCCUAUUGUGUCAGAGUGCACAAGGGUCUCAAAUAGACUCCGAGAAGUGCUCACACUAGGGAGGUCAGUAGUAAGAGCCUUGGUGGCCUUGGCUUUCAGCCGGCCUAGAAUGAUAGGUUCAGAAUAGCAUAGGUAACAUAUGAGAGAGAGUGGACAAUGAUUAUGUGACAGAAGUUGAGGAAAUACACUUAUAGUUUAAAGUAUGUCACACCCCUUUUUUUACCAACUUCACUAAACCCUCUUAAAUUAAUAAAAAGAUUUGUAAAGCUCAAAAGGGUUUUAAUUAAAAAGUAACAAAAUUGUAUUAAAAAGGAAAUAACUCAGAGUCGUCACCUGACAUUUGUUUCGGUGUGCCAGAUCACCGUUUUCAAAAAUGAUUUUCCUUUUAAAACACUUCGGACUCCAAAUUAAGUUUGCACCAGAGAUUUGGGUAAGAGGGUUCAUUUGACUCAGGGAGAAGGUAUUAGGCAUUCCCCAAGUCCCGUAACUAGUACGGUUGCGUACAUGAUCAAGUUGACUUUUAAAAUAUUCAAUUGAGGUAAAAAACACAAAAAAAGGAAAAUAAACACACAAGAGGCCCGAGGUCGUUCCCACCUAAUAAAAGAGAAGCGAAAAUAAAAAUAAAAAUACUAAGAGUUCUACUUUCGGCCUCCAAAUACAAAUACCUCGGGGCAUUCCCCGGAUAAAUUUAACUAAGGAAAUGACCUCUCACCUCAAAACUAACAAAAAUCUUAAGGCUUGCCUACCCAAGUGUGGUCGGCCUAAACAUGCUCCUGAUGGGUCAUAACACAAAGCAAGAUGAAGUACCAAACAAAAGUAAUAAAGCAACAGUAAAAGUAAGUAUAAAAUAUAAUACCUGAUACUCAAACCCAAGCAUAUAUGAACUUUAUCGAUUCAUAUUUAUCUCAUAUUCAAAUUCUUUUAAAUUUACCAAAACCCCAACCAGUAUUUCUUUUACUACUCAAACCAUCAAUAAAUCUAUAUAACUUAUUCAUUUGAUUCUCCUAUUAUAAGUUAUUAUUAAUACUAGAACUUGAAAACCGCUACCUCUUAAGGAAAGCAUUGCAACAAACUUGAAAUCUCAAUUUAUCUAUUUAAAGUUUAUCAACAAAUAUAGAAGUAAACAACGUAAACAAUAAUCAAGAAUACAAGGAUCAUCCAAUUAAAAGACUAGGGAAUGAGAGGGGGUAAGGUUUAAACCUUUUAUUGAUGAAUCCAAGGGUGUAAUUCAGAAGGCAAACUGGAAAUCGGAACCAGAGCUUGGCCAAAAAACCUUGGCUGAAAUCAAACGGGACCGGAACUGUCGAGCCAAGAACAGAAACUUCGUUGUAAAGAUUGAACGGCGAUGGCAGCAACGGCGACGCUAGCUAAGUGAGAGAUGAGAGGAUUGAGUGAAAUAGUGAGAAGUGGGGGUCAUCAUUUUCAUAAUCGCUGAAUUUCUGCCGGAGCUCUUAGAGUGAAUGGGGGCGGCUGUUUUUCUAGAAACAAAAUGAGAGCCCUUCCCCCUUUUUCGCUGCUGCUUUCCCCAAAUGCUCUAUCUCAUUUCAGUCUCUUGAUCUGUAUGUAAAGUGUCAAAUAUAUGAAUAUAUUGAUUCAAAUUUUCAGGCAAGCUAUAAUAGAAUGGAUCAAUUAAAUGGUCACGUUUGAUUCUGCAAAGUUGCUGGGCGGUUGCUUCCUCUCAAGUGUGAUAGAAUGAGAGAUUUUUUGGAAUUAAAGAUGAUUGGAAACAGUGGUGGUAUUUGUGAAAAUCAGAGAGUGUUGAUUUCUUGAAUUUUUUUUCUAAGAAGAACAAUGAAUUAAAGUGACGUUCUGCUUUUCGUUUUGCUUGUCCUUCCUUUUUCGUGAGUGUGUGUACUUUUUUUUAUUGCCGCUGUUGGGUGUAGCUGGAGACGGGUGGUCGCUGGCGGUUGGGGGUCUCUCCUAGGUUUUUUUGAGGUUCUCCCCUUAUAAUAAUGAAAAAUUCCAGACCCUUCCUCAACUGCUUGGAGAAAAGAAAAGAGAUCUCUUAGCCAAUACCGUGUGGUCCCUAUCAGUAAAAAAUGCCAUAUUUCUGUAUGCAAAUGUAAAAAUGAAAUGGAAUGUGUAGUGGUGUGACGUGGUAGGGAGUUAAGGCGAGCACAAGAAUUGUGAAUUUUUAUUGUGCAAAUGAAUCCAAAAACGUGAGAGUGGGGAGUGUGAAUCUUUGUGAUUUUCACUUUUUGCUUUCUUUCUUAUUCAAUUAAAGGAAUGGAAAAAAUAAAACCAUAAAAUAAGAAAACCAACUAGCUAUAAAUUUAUAUUUUUCUUUUUCUUUGACUUUCUUUAAAGAUAAAUUGCUAGAUGAAGAUACUAAUUAGCUAAAACUAAAGAAAAUAUUUUGUAAUUUUUAUUUUGUGAUAAAAUAAAGUAAAAGGGUCAAAAAUAGUUAAAAUAGCGAUAUUAGACCUAAAUAAAUAUUUAAAUGCUAAAAUAUAUAAAAUCUCGGGAGGGUCAAAAAUUACAUGUCUACAGCUGCCCCUCUUUGACUGUAAACACGAAGAGUUUUUAGACAAAGAACGACUAGACAGGUUUUUUGACCCGACCCUUAUUUAGGGAGACCAAAAACUAAAAGGAAAGAGAAUGUGACCGAGCCCUGGUAUCUGAGCUGCCUACAUAUCUUUGGCUAUAAAGGAAUUAGGCCACGUGUAGUUCAGAAGUAGGGACAGUGAUGGAGUAUACUGAGGUGGAGAGGCGGUCGAGGUGCCGUUCUGUCGAGGUUGCGUUCCGCGGUCCUGUUUUUACAUCAAAAUCAAAAAAUGAAAAAGACUAACUAAGCCUGUCAACUAUGAGUUACAAAAUUCCUAUCUAUAAGUCUUUUGAAGCUUGAUCUUGAGUCUUAAAUUGUUCUUCAUGCAGACUUUAGAUUUGAACUUUGACGCUCGCUAGCUGCAGGUGCUAGUUCAUUCUUCUUCAGUUUUUCGGAUCAAGACCAGACAUGUAGCGCUCGUGACUUCAACCACGUCUUGAGCAGUUCACAUCUUUUUUCUGCUUCUGCAUUUUGGAUUCACUUUUUUUUUUGUUUUUUUUUUGUUUUGCUUGUUUGUGUUUUUUUCCCGUAUUGAGACUACUUCUAUUGGUCACCUCGGACUGUUGACUCGCAUUCUUGCCGCGAACUUCUGCUACUUCUAACUUGAAUUGAAUUCUGAAAUGACUUCUCUCGUUCUCUAGGUGGGUGUCUGAUUGCCAAAACUUGAAAUGUAUUCCCUUGUUCUCUAGGUGGGCGCCUGAUUGCCAAAACUUGAAAUAAUUCCGAAACGAAUUCCCUCAUUCUCCAGUGGUGCCUGCAAUCAAAAAAACAAAACAAACAAAAGUUUCUGCCCCAAUUUGUACUAGGAAGAUUUGUGAGUUGUUAACAAAACUGUAAAUCACGUAUGUUAUUGAUGCAAUGAUGAGAGUAAAACUAAAGACUUGACUGGAAUGUGCGUCUCCUGUGAAUGAAACCAAGAAUAUUUGACUAGCAAGUGCGUCUGCUAAGAAUAAAAUCUGAAUGACCCAGACUAGGAAGUGCAUCUCCUAGAUUUAAGAUUGAGCUUGAGGAAAACUAUAAACUAAGCUUGACUAAAGUAAAAACUGACCUAAUCUCAAGGCGGGACCCCUGAUUUCAAGAAAACUAAAGAUUAAUAACUUAAGAAAACUAAAGAUUGAUCCUAGGAGAAAAUUCAUCAGACUAGGUCUUCUAUCUUAGGAGACGAAUUCAUUAGACUAAGAUUUUGAUCCUAGGAGAAAGUUCAUCGGACUAGAUCUUCUUAUCUUAGGAGAAAGAUUCAUCAGACUAAGAUUUUGAUCCUAUGAGAAAAUUCAUCAGACUAGGUCUCUUACUUUGUUAUCUUAGGAGAAAGAUUCGUUAGACUAAGAUUUGAUCCUAGGAGAAAAUUCAUCAGACUAGGUCCCUUUCUUUGUUAUCGUAGGAGAAAGAUUCAUCAGACUAAGAUUUCUAUCCUAGGAGAAAAUUCAUCAGACUAGGUUUUCUAUCUUAGGAGAAAAAUUCAUCAGACUAAGAUUUCUAUCCUAGGAGAAAAUUCAUCAGACUAGGUUUUGAUCUUAGGAGAAAGAUUCAUUAGACUAAAACGUUUAUCCUAGGAGAAAGAUUCAUCAUACUAGGGCUUUUUAUCUUAGGAGAAAGAUUCAUUAAACUAAGAUUUUUAUCCUAGGAAAAAAUUCAUCAGACUAGGUCUUCUUUCUUAGGAGAAAAAUUCAUCACACUAAGUUUUUCUAUCUUAGGAGAAAAAUUCAUCGGACUAAGAUUUUUAUUGGGAGGAAAAUCCAUCAGACUAGAACUUUUUAUCCUAAAAGGAAAAAUGUGAAGAGCAAAAGCAACAUUUUAUGCACACUAGCAAGACAGGUAAGAGAAAAGAUUUGAGAAACUUCCCUUCUUAUUUUUUUUCUUUUUUUUGAACCCACUUGCUUACACUUCUUUGUUCCUGUUUCAAACAAAGAAAACUUGUGAGUUUAAAUGUGCUGGUUAGUUUGUGGCCUUGACCUUGAGGGCGGCUGAUUCUACACUUGCCAAGAUAACUUUGAUUUCAACUUGGACAACCAUGACUGUUAUCGACUACCCAUUUUCUUCAACCCUUAUCACAGAAAAUACCUAUGCUCCAUUCGAUCCCAAUAUCCUCUAUUUGUUGCAUUUUGCUUAUGAAUUGACAUUUAUCGAACCCUUGCAUUUCACAUGAAUCCCAAAGCAUAUUGAUUGUUACCAACUCAAUGCGUAUACCACUUUUCCUGAAUUAUGCCACUUUGAUGUGCUAGCCAAAUUUGUUUUGUGCAAUUGGAAAGUUGGUAGCAAAUUUUGAAGUCAUUUCUCACUUGUUCUGACAAAACAGACUCAAGAAGGGACUCAAACAAAACAAGAGGAACAAAAUAAGGGACAAGGGAAAGAUAUGAUACCUAACAAGAAAAUUACAAAGUAGAAACUUAUCAGAUGUGGAUACCAACUCUAACGACCAUGACAUGCACCUUUGGAUUAAGUGGCCUAAUCUCUCAAGCAAGUCUAAUAUCCAACUCUUGUUGUACCUCUUCGCUGUAAAACUGGGCUUCAGCGCUUCAAUUGUCCCAUUUUAUCCAUAAUCCUCAAUCGACUUAUAGUGCCCUGAAGGUUUUCACCAUCAAGCAUCUCUCAUUUUUUUUCUUUUCUCAACUCACCAUCGCCUUACGGUGCCCAUGAUGGUUUUCACCGAUAAGACUCUCUCAUUUUAUCAUUUUCUCUCUUUGUGAUGAGAACAAAGUAUUACCCAUGAUGCAAGAAGAUCAUACUUUCACCAUACACUUUAUUUGGAAUCCUCAAAGAUUGGUCAGAAUGUCUUUCUUUGGACCGUAAUGUAGGCUUUUGGACAGGGUGGGAAAGAAAGGGUGGCAUGAAGGCUCAAAAUAAUUUAAAAUGAAAGGGUUCAAAAUUACAACUUUUAAAAUCAAAUCUUUUAGCCAAAAUUAAAACUUCUGCCCCAGUUUCUUUGAGUCUCGGGAAUUUUGGAUUUUUAUUUUGAUGGAACCGAAUCGUGUAAGGCUGCCUACGUAUCCUUAAAAGGAAUCAGGUCGAACUUAGUUCAAACACAAAGUUGUUUUUUUCCUUUUCUUUUCUUUUUCUUCUUUUUUUUCUUCUUUUUUUUUUCUUUUUCCCUUCUUUUCUAGUUCCCAACUCUACUUCUGAUUCCAAAAAAGGGGCAUGAAACACAACAAAUUAAGGCUCAAAAAGGUUAGUAAAAGAUAAAAGUGUUUGAGUAGCAGAAUAAAAUGCCUUCGUCAUACCAAACUUUAAAAAUGCCAGGUACAAGCAUGCAAUUGAAGAUAAGCAAAAAAAUCAUACAUGGUAUCUAUUGAUGGAAUCAACACAAACAAAAAUGCCAGUGGGCAAUACCUUUAUCCCAAUGAAUGACCCUUGCCAGUUCGAAACAGACUUGACUCAACCUUAUCUCGAUGUGGAAGAAUGCAUUUCAGCCCUGAUUGAUUUAUCUCAAAAUUGCUUGAGAGAUAUUUCCUUGUUGUAUGCUCUUAUCCACCUCUUGAUUUCCCAGACUAACUGCCUCAGUUUCACUCAAUUCAAGCUUCAAGUUAUUUUGGAAUAUGUGACUGUUUACUUGUUUCCUCAAAUGCAUCCUUUUAUCAUAUUCAAAACUGUGUCAUUGCUUCAUGAUUAGACUAACUUUCAGGACGAGGGUGAGAAUUAUGCGUGUAUGUCAUGUCACUAGAGUCAGCAUGAAAAGAACUAUAAAAGGAAAAGUGACCUAAACAAAACUAACUAGAACUAACAGAAAACAGUAGAUUGCAUUAGACAGAUGGUGAACAUGGUUUGAACAAAACAAGCAAAAUAGACAUGGGUUAUAACCCUAGAACAAUUCUAGAUAACACUAGACGAGUUACUACAAUAAAACGAACUAGGCAAAAAGAAGAAGAAGAGUUUGAGCCACAAGACAAUAUCCGGAUUACAACCCUAAAAUAACCCAGACAACAGAAAUGACAACAAAAUAAACCACCAAAACUCCUCCCUAGCUAGCCAAGAAAGGAGUGUCUUUCCAAUCACCAAGCUCGACAUCUUAGCCACUGAGUUCCACAUCAAUAAUCCCAGAACCUCCACAAAUCUCCAUCAUGUUGACCUUAGCAAAUAGCUUUUGGGUCCUUUUUGCCAACUCGUUCUUAAGAUCAACCUCUGGAACCGAGACUGAUAGCGCUGAAAACUUUGCAGUAGGUGGCCCCCUAAGGGAUUCAAAAGAGUUCUCAUAUUCCUUUUCCACACAAAUCAUGUCCACCACAUGCGUCUCAUUAUGCACAGGCAAUGGACUUUGGCUAGUAUCUGUUGCAUUUGGAUUUUUCACGGUAAUGUCACCUGCAUCAAUAAGCUUCUGGACUGCUCUUUUUAGAUGCCAACACUUUUCUAUGUCGUGCCCGGUGGCAUUAGAGCAAUAUGCGCACCUUUGAGGAAAAUCAAAACUCUUUGGAACGCGUUUCGACAUUUUUAUCUGAAUCGGUUUCAACAUGUCCAAUUGCCUCAGCCUUUAGAACAAACUGGCAUAUGAUUCUCCAAUAGGAGAGAAAGACUUUUCUCUUUGCUGUCGCCUUCUCAUUUUGUACUCCGACCUUGGUUGGAACCACUUUCAGGUAGGGGGUUGAUAUUCUUGUAGAGGUGGGUAAGACAUUUGUGGAGGCGGUGCAAGCCGUUGUGGGUUUUAUGGGUGUGAAGCAUAUGGCGGUGCAUUGUGGAUAGAGUACUGGGGAGGUGAGGUAUGACUUUGGAGAUUUUGUGGAGGAAAGUAGCAUUGGGGAGGAUUAUUUGGAGUACGAGGAUAUUCAUGGGGUCGGUAUUGAGGUUGAAAGCGUUUAGCAGGAAUGCCCACUAGAUCUUGUCGUUGGCUGGGCUCGACAACAUCUUUUCUAUCAAUCGAAGGACUGAUCCCAGCAACUUGUUCGUUCCAUCUGAACCAAAACUCCCUAAAACCUUCCUUGGGUUUCUUUUCCAUCUGAGAUAGGGAGGAGCGGCCUGGGAUAAUGUCUACAUUAUACUGAUAGUGCCGAACAAAAUCUUGAGCCAAGUCACCCCAUGCAUGUCACUUACUAGCAUCUUGGCGGGUGUACCACUCCAGAGCUUUCCCACUCAGACUCUGACUGAAAUAUGCCAUCAAUACUUCAUCCUUCCCGCAAACACUUCUCAUUUCACUGCAACAACCCCUCAGAUGCUCUACUGGAUCUCCACGCCCAUCAUAUAAAUUAAGCUUUAGCAUUUUAGACCCUUUCAGCUUUCUGGAUAUCUUAUCCUGCUCCACUGUCUUAGUAGGCUUUGUAGUUUCACCGGGAGGCUCAAAAUAAGGAGCAUAAGAGUAUGGACCCGAGACCUUGAAAAUUGGUUCUGGAGCAUAGUGUUAGACAUCUGGAGCUUGGAACACAGUCUCGCUGGAGGAUCGAGGAAGAGUAGCUGGUGGAUGAGCUACAAAAACACAAGUGGUCAAAGGAGCGGGAUUUGAUGUGCUUUUUAGGGGUGGAAUGUGAAAAGAUUGUGGGGGGAUAUCAACACCAGUGGGAACCUGGGUUUGUAAUAGUGGUGGGAUAGUUGCAAGGUUUUUAGUGUAGUUAGUGGGGAAUGAAUGUGGAGGAUGCCCCCUGAUCCAAGACUGAUACAUUUCUUCCAUCUGUUGUUUCAACCUUUGGACCCCCUCUUUCAAUUCAGACUCCGACUCCACAAACAUCCUUGGUGGGUCUACAACACCAGUGUUUGUUUCUUUGCUAGCCAUGGCUACUUGCUCUUUGACCUAUGUUGUAUGAACGAAUCGCCAAAGUGCCACAAACUAACCACCCUCUGUUAUGAUAACAAUAAAAGUAACAAAGAGCAACAAAAAAAAGCCAACAUGUUAGUGUUAGGGCAUUUAUCAGAUAGAAUGAUCACAUAGUGUGUCAUGCCCCUGGUCACAAUUAACGGUUUUAGAAUGGCUUCGAGAGUACGAAGGAUAUAUGGCAUCAUCCCAAUUUCACUCUUCUGGCCCUUUUCUCUUCUUUUCCUCCUUUGCGCUCCUUAAUUUGCUCAUUUCUUUCAACUCUUUUCUUUCUGAUUAUCGCUCUUUCUUUCCUCUCAUUUUUCACAUCCCACAACUUUUCUCUCUUUUUUUCUUCUUUUUUUUUCUUUUUUUUUAGUUUUCAAAAAAAUGAUUCGAUCGAACCCUAUGUAGGUUGCCUACGUAUCAUGUCCCUCNNNNNNNNNNNNNNNNNNNNNNNNNAUGAAUUAGAUCAAGCGUAGCUCUGAAAAAGUAACGGAUAAAAUAAACUAAGAAACAAAAAUCUUUUUGAAAUUUUCAUUUAUAAUUUUUUUCAAAUACAAAACAGGAAGUACUAUAACAAAAGACUCGAAAAUCUUAAUUAGACUGACAGACUCGAUACUACUGUACAAGACUAAUAAUUAAAAGACAACAUAAAAUAGACUAAAAAAUAAAAAGUUUCCUCAAACAGCUCGUGCAUGCAAUAGUCUUGACUAGAAUGGUCCUGGGGUAUUUGUCAUGCUCGAGUCCUGGUACAUGGAUCCAGACCUGAAUGAGAAAAAUAAGACCAAAUAGAUCAGUGACUCAAGACACUAUGCUACACCACAACACCUCCUAUUGGAAGCACGCAAGACAUGAUUGGGCUGCUUUUGCAAAAUUAACCUAUGUGGCCAAGGAUGGCUAUUAGUGCAAACUCAACAACGGUGACCUCAAAGACAUGGAAAUACCUCACUAAGGCUUAAAUGGAUUCAACUCCCAAUAAUCAUGGCCCAAAAUUAAUUUGCAGAAAUAACCCAUUUUGCAGAAACGGCCAAUAUGGCUAGAUGUGACUAAAGAUGCAAACUCAAUAAGGACGUGCCUUAAAGUAAUAUGACUCAUAGUUGUGGACUCAAGAUUCUAAGACAUGGGUAAUUGAACCACUUUACGAAAAUGAUCCCAUUUUGCAAGAAUGGCUCGUGUAGCCAAAAGUGGCUAGACAUGCAAGAUUUGGCUAAGAUCCCGCAAAGCCAAGAACCUAAGACACUAGGAAGACCGGACCCUAUGUGGGUUGCCUAUGUAUCACGUCCCGAAAGACGAGAAUCAAGUUCGCGUAGUUCGGGAAGAUUCGAUAUGGGAGAAAGCUUAAAAAAUGACACUAGUUGAAAAAAUAUAUUUUUUGUCUUCUUGAAAAAUGAUGGAAAAUGUAAAAUCUUUUUAGAUUUUUUUUUAAAAUUUUUGGAAAAUAAUGGGAAGGUGUAAAAUCUUUUGGAUUUUUUUUUUGAUUUUUUGAAAAAUAAUGGGAAAGUGUAAAAUCUUUAUGGAUUUUUCAUUUUCAUUUUCUUUUCUGUCUUUUGUUUUUGAAAAAGUAGUGAAAGAAAAAUAUAACUGGACGCUACUUGCUUCAUCUUUCACUCUUCUUUCCCAAACAUCGGUUAGCCAAAUGACCUUUUUACCCUCAAAGGUGCAACAUGUAUCACAUAAGAAUGAUUGAAUGUCUUUUUGGGCCACGGGCCUAUUUUUGAUAAAAUUUGGAUAGGCUUCCUACAAAGGGACACGGUACCUGGGACCGAGCCCUGCUAGAUCUAAAUAACAUGAUGCAAAUAAAAAUGACCUAAAGGCUGACCUUAGUUUGUGGUUUAUUAACAAGGCAAUUCGGGGGAGUGUAUGGUCGAUGGUGGCUGCUCAAGCUUUCCACCCACUCCAUACGUCCGAUGGCCCCCCCUCCUAAAUUAAGGGUGACUCAACAAAGAGUUCAUGCACGCGACGCGUACUCCGAGACUUGUUGCAGAAAGAAGACCCAUGAUUAUGCAAAUGAUGACAGUUUAUAAAGCAGUAACACAAUAAGAAAAGCGAUAAACAAAUAGCCAACAAAACAAGGAAAUACGACAAACAAAGAAAAUAAAGAAAACAAAUACCUCAACCAAAUAUCCUAAAAGCCAACAAGAUCAAAUACCAGCACGAACCUGCAACUCCCCAGCAGAGUCGCCAAAGAUGUCACACCCCUUUUUUAACAACUACCUUCACUAAACCCUCUUAAAUUAAUAAAAAGAUUUAUAAAGCUCAAAAGGGUUUUAAUUAAAAAGUGACAAAAUUGUGUUAAAAAGGAAAUAAUUCAGAGUCGCCACCUGACAUUGUUUCGGUGUGCCAGGUCACCGUUUUUCAAAAAUGAUUUUUCUUUUAAAACACUUCGAACUCCAAACUAAGUCUGCACCAGAGAUUUGGGUAAGGGGGUUCAUUUGACUUAGGGAGAAGGUAUUAGACAUUCCCCAAGUCCCGUAACUAGUACGAUUGCGUACAUGAUCAAGUUGGCUUUUAAAAUAUUCAAUUGAGAUAGAAAACACAGAAAAAGAAAAAUAAACACACAAGAGGCCCGAGGUCGUUCCCAACUAAUAAAAGAGAAGCGAAAAUGAAAAUAAAAAUACUCAGAGUUCUACUUUCGGCCUCCAAAUAUAAAUACCACGGGCAUACCCCGGAUGAAAUAUAUACAAAUCAUUCGGGGUAUUCCCCGAAUAAAUUUAACUAAGGGAAUAACGUCUCGCCACGAAACUAACAAAAAUUCUAAGGCUUCCCUACCUAAGUGUGGUCGGCCUAAACAUGCUCCUAACGGGUCAUAACACAAAGCAAGAUGAAGUACCAAACAAAAGUAAUAAAGCAACAGUAAAAGUAAGUAUAAAAUAUAAUACCUUAUACUCAAACCCAAGCCAUGUAUGAACUUUAUCGAUUCAUAUUUAUUUCAUAUUCAAAUUCUUUUAAAUUUACCAAAACCCCAACCCCAACCAGUAUUUCUUUUACUACUCAAACCAUCAAUAAAUCUAUAUAACCUAUUCAUUUGAUUCUCCUAUUAUAGGUUAUUAAUACUAGAACCUGGAAACCUCUACCUCUUAAGGAAAGCAUUGCAGCAGACUUGAAAUCUCAAUUUAGCUAUUUAAAGUUUAAACGUAAACAAUAAUCAAGAACACAAGGAUCAUCCAAUUAAAAAACUAGGGAAAGAGAGGGGUAAGGUUUAGACCUUUAUUGAUGAAUCCAAGGGUGUAAUUCAGAAGGCAAACUGGAAAUCGGAACCAGAGCUUGACCGAAAAACCUUGGCUGAAAUCAAACGGGACCGGAACCAUCGAGCCAAGAAUGGAAACUUCGUUGUAAAGUUUGAACGACGAUGGCAUCGGCGGCGACGCUAGCUAAGUGAGAGAUGAGAGGAUUGAGUGAAAUAGUGAGAAGAGGGGGUCAUCGUUUUCAUAAUCGCUGAAUUUCUGCCGGAGCUCUUAGAGUGAAUGGGAGCGGCUAUUUUUCUAGAAAAAAAAUGAGAGCCUUCCCCCUUUUUCGCUGCUGCUUUCCCCAAAUGCUCUAUCUCAUUUCAGUCUCUUAAUCUGUAUGUAGAGUGUCAAAUAUAUGAAUAUCUUGAUUCAAAUUUUCAGGCAAGCUAUAAUAGAAUGGAUCAAUUAAAUGGUCACGUUUGAUUCUGCAAAGUUGCUGGGCGGUUGCUGCCUCUCAAGUGUGAUAGAAUGAGAGAUUUUUUGGAAUUAAAGAUGAUUGGAAAUAGUGGUGGUAUUUGUGAAAAUCAGAGAGUGUUGAUUUCUUGAAUUUUUUUUCUAAGAAGAACAAUGAAUUAAAGUGACGUUCUACUUUUCGUUUUGCUUGUCCCUUCCUUUUUCGUGAGUGUGUGUGCUUUUUUUUUAUUGCCGCUGUUGGGAGCAGCUGGAGACGGGUGGUCGCUGGCGACUGGGGGUCUCUCCUAGAUUUUUUUUUGUGGUUCUCCCCUUAUAAUAAUGAAAAAUUCCAGACCCUUCCUCAACUGCUUGGAGAAAAGAAAAGAGAUCUCUUAGCCAAUACCGUGUGGUCCCUAUCAGUAAAAAAUGCCAUAUUUCUGUAUGCAAUGUAAAAAUGAAAUGGAAUGUGUAGUGGUGUGACGUGGCAGGGAGUUA
rnacentral:lncRNA from 1 species